rnacentral:rRNA from 1 species
UACAGAGGUCUCAAGCGUUGUUCGGAUUCAUUGGGCGUAAAGGGUGCGUAGGCGGCGCGGUAAGUCGGGUGUGAAAUCUCGGGGCUUAACUCCGAAACUGCAUUCGAUACUGCCGUGCUUGAGGACUGGAGAGGAGACUGGAAUUUACGGUGUAGCGGUGAAAUGCGUAGAUAUCGUAAGGAAGACCAGUGGCGAAGGCGGGUCUCUGGACAGUGACUGACGCUGAGACGCGAAAGCGUGGGGAGCAAACAGG